rnacentral:rRNA from 1 species
GAUGAACGCUGGCGGCGUGCCUAAUACAUGCAAGUCGAGCGAACGGACGAGGAGCUUGCUUCUCUGAUGUUAGCGGCGGACGGGUGAGUAACACGUGGAUAACCUACCUAUAAGACUGGGAUAACUUCGGGAAACCGUAGCUAAUACCGGAUAAUAUUUUGAACCGCAUGGUUCAAAAGUGAAAGACGGUCUUGCUGUCACUUAUAGAUGGAUCCGCGCUGCAUUAGCUAGUUGGUAAGGUAACGGCUUACCAAGGCAACGAUGCAUAGCCGACCUGAGAGGGUGAUCGGCCACACUGGAACUGAGACACGGUCCAGACUCCUACGGGAGGCAGCAGUAGGGAAUCUUCCGCAAUGGGCGAAAGCCUGACGGAGCAACGCCGCGUGAGUGAUGAAGGUCUUCGGAUCGUAAAACUCUGUUAUUAGGGAAGAACAGAUGUGUAAGUAACUGUGCACAUCUUGACGGUACCUAAUCAGAAAGCCACGGCUAACUACGUG